rnacentral:rRNA from 1 species
AAUCAACGCUGGCGGCGUGCCUCAGACAUGCAAGUCGAACGAUUAAAGCUCCCUUCGGGGAGUGCAUAAAGUGGCGCACGGGUGAGUAACACGUAAGUAAUCUACCCUCGAGUGGGGAAUAACGUCCGGAAACGGACGCUAAUACCGCAUAAUGCAGCGGCACCGCAAGGUGACAGUUGUUAAAGAUUUAUCGCUUGAGGAGGAGCUUGCGGCAGAUUAGCUAGUUGGUAAGGUAAUGGCUUACCAAGGCCGCGAUCUGUAACCGGUCUAAGAGGACGGUCGGUCACACUGACACUGGAUAACGGGUCAGACUCCUACGGGAGGCAGCAGUCGGGAAGUUUGGGCAAUGGGCGAAAGCCUGACCCAGCAACGCCGCGUGAAGGAUGAAGUAUUUCGGUAUGUAAACUUCGAAAGAAUGGGAAGAAUAAAUGACGGUACCAUUUAUAAGCGCCGGCUAACUACGUGCCAGCAGCCGCGGUAACAC